rnacentral:rRNA from 1 species
UACGUAGGGUGCAAGCGUUGUUCGGAUUCAUUGGGCGUAAAGGGUGUGUAGGUGGCGCGCUAAGUCGGGUGUGAAAUUUCGGAGCUUAACUCCGAAACUGCAUUCGAUACUGGCGUGCUUGAGGACUGGAGAGGAGACUGGAAUUCAUGGUGUAGCAGUGAAAUGCGUAGAGAUCAUGAGGAAGACCAGUGGCGAAGGCGGGUCUCUGGACAGUUCCUGACACUGAGACACGAAGGCCAGGGGAGCAAACGGG